rnacentral:rRNA from 1 species
UACGAAGGGGGCUAGCGUUGUUCGGAUUUACUGGGCGUAAAGCGAGUGUAGGCGGUUUGGUAAGUCGGGUGUGAAAGCCCCGGUGGACCGUCAACCAGGAAGUGCACUCGAAACUGCGCGACUAGAGUACUGGAGAGGUUGGUGGAAUUCUCGUGUAGAGGUGAAAUUCUAGAUAUCGAGAGGAACACCGGUGGCGAAGGCGGCCAACUGGACAAUACUGACGCUGAGACUCGAAAGCGUGGGGAGCAAACAGG